rnacentral:misc_RNA from 1 species
AACUUUUGACAAUGGAUCUCUUGGCUCUCGCAUCGAUGAAGAACGCAGCGAAAUGGGAUACGUAAUGUGAAUUGCAGAAUUCAGUGAAUCAUCGAAUCUUUGAACGCACCUUGCGCCCCUUGGAAUUCCGAGGGGCACACCCGUUUGAGUAUCGUGAACAUCCUUCAACCUUUCUUGGUUUCUUGACCGGGGAAGGCUUGGACUUUGGGGGUCUUUCAUUGCUGGCCUCUUUGAAGCCAGCUCCUCCUAAAUGGAUUAGUGUGGUCUGCUUUGCCGAUCCUUGACGUGAUAAGAUGUUUCUACGUCUUGGGUUUCGCACUGUCGCUUUAGACCCCGCUUCUAACCGUCUUGCAUUCAAGACAGAGUUUUUAAACCUUGACCUCAAAUCGGGUGAGACUACCCGCUGAACUUAAGCAUAUCAAUAAGCGGAGGCU